rnacentral:lncRNA from 1 species
GCGAUUGUCGGGACUUCCGGCGAGUUACGGUAAUCGGUAUUGGGAAACCGAUUUUCGUGGGAUUAAUUGUUUGUGGGUUGUGGAUUUAGUGGUUAUUAGUUGUGGGUUAGACACUAACCCGGUGGACUUUCCUUAGGUCCGGUUGACAUCCUUUUGCAGUCAGGAAACAGGCGCGACAUUCGUACAGGUGGGUACUUCGAUCCGACGUCAGUAUAGUGGUGCACGCUCGGUGAUGGUUUCUUACCAUUACUCUGCUGUUGUUACUAUUGCAUAGUAUAUAUUGAGCCUUGCACCCAUGUUAUUCUAUUAUACUCUACUCGUUGUUUGCAUGCUUAGUGUCCAGAGUAGGAGUAGAGUAGUUCUAUCUAUAUGCAUAUCUGUUUACCUGGUUGGUCGGUUGUUGCAUUCCGUAUCUGUUGACCUGGUUGGUCGGUUGUUGCAUUCCGUAUCUGUUGACCUGGUUGGUCGGUUCUCGUACUUCGUAUCAGUGACCUUGUUGGUCGGUUGGACUCUGUGGACCUUGGGUCCAGGCAACACAUCAACUCUCUUGUCAUAUGUUUCGAUCUGGUUGAUCGUGGUUCGGCGUUGUACGCCCUUAUUUCUGGCUUCGGCCUAGGCAUCGGCUUUUGUCGGUUUUUGUUUGAGCAUACCAGCAUGACUUAGUCACAGCACUUGGGAGUAUUCACAACACCGGGUCGGUUUGGCCACCGACCGGAGGUGUACUUAUCCGGAUGGGUCGUCCUGUGGGGCGGGUGAAUCAGGUCGGUGCAAGUUAGUGACAGGCAGCGCUUGAGGUCUGCGGACCAAUAUAGCAGGUACCAGAUUGGAUAUAUUUGGACUUCUUGUCCGGUUGACGCAUAUGACUAUAGUAGCGGUUGUUUGCAUGUAUACUUACCGUUCCUUCUUUAUAGUUGUCUUGCUACUAUAGUUUUGUUGCAUGUAUACAUUCAGUUGUUCAUUACAGUAGCGGUAGUUGUACUUUCAUUUAUAUAUAUGUCUCUUUCGUUCAUUAUUAUUGCUACUGUAUUUUCACUGACCCGUACUGUUGUUUAGCUCUUCCUGAUCCGGUGAGUACUCCUCGCCUUCAUCGGCUUGCGGUACCCACUGGGAGGGGAGACAUGUUUACAUGUUCUCACCUCCCCCACUAUUUUUCAGGUAUCACGGGCGAUGAGGAUUGAGAUGAGACGUGAGAUACGUACGUAGCGGUCGAUAGAGCUUCCGACCCAGGUUAUUCGGUUUAGUUUCUACCCUUACUAUUCUGUUGAUAUAGCUUAGAUAGUUUAUAUGGUUCAGUAUUUUUAUUACAUUUGAAAAUGUAGGUUUUCAUGAAUGUAAUAAAUGGAUUUGUGGAUUUUGUGAAAUGAAAAAUAGUUUUCUACCCCGUAAAUAAAAGGUUUUCUACCCCUCGUGGUAGCGCGUUUUAAAAGAAAAAAAUUUUCGUGUGGGAAACAGCUUUCAAAAGGUUUUUCGUAAUUUUCAUAACUUAGUAUUUCAAAACCCGUUUCUGAGUUGGAAACGUUUUAACUGAUAGUUGUGAUUUUAUGUUCAAAUCAUGAAUGUGAACCUGUGGUGAAUGGUGUAUGGAUAUAUAUAUAGAUGUUGGAUGUCUGUAUAUUUAGUGUAGUGGUCGUAUCCUGGUUUGUACUUGUACUUGUGCGACGCCGUGCAAAUACAGAGGAGACUCUGUCCGUGUGAACAGUGGACUCCCUGUAUUUGUGGCGGAUCUGGCAUACCCCGUGGUCAGGUUUUUUUUAAAAAAAAAAAAUUUCGCUGCGUUUUAACCUAAAAGGGAUCUCGGGGCGUGACAUAUUUAGUGUUUGUUCGGCACUAGUUAUCGUUUCUAGUAGAGAGUUUGGUAGAUAAGUACCGGCUAGUUUAGAGCAUACUCAUUGAGGGUACUCAAUUAGUCAAGUACUCAAAUGAAAAAUUCUUUGAGGGCUUGCUUUGCAGACUACCACUCAUAGAGUUGCUGUUAGAGGAGAGAAGUUUUACUCCAAAGCAAUUCCUCAAACAAUAGUGUAAUGGGUUGGGAAUGGCCUAUAUAUUAUGCGCUAUGAGGAUUUUCUUUUAUGAUUGCGAGGUUUUCGCUCCUUAUGAUUUGGUUUGAUAGUAUAUUUUACUUACGAGGUGAUUUUGCCUUAUUUUGAGACCAUAAUACUCGCCAUCAUCAAAAUACUACAAGCUUCUCGAGUGCGUGGAAGAGAUGUGUUUGGCAAGAUAUUUGUGCAUCUCACUUUAUGUAGCAGUUUCGUGUAAAUUCUACAGCUUCAGCAUGUUAUCAACUGUGCUUUUCUUUAUAUAGUUUUGAGUACUUUUUAUAUCUUAACGACUUUGUGUUUAAGAUAGACAUGUGAUAAAUCUGGUGACAUUUAUGUCUUUGAGCCUUUGCUACCACUUUCAUAUUUGCAUGUAGACAAAGAUCCAAGCACUGUAAUGAGUUCAUCAGCUAAUCUUGUCCGAAAUAAGAUUAUAAUUAUUCUUUAAAAAAAUUUUGUUACUAGGAAUAGGAUACCAUAUUGAAAUUUAAUCUAAAGCUGUAAAAAGCAAUACAGGAAAACUUCAUUGUUAUGUAAGAUAAGUCAAUAUUUACAUUUCUUCCUUGUUUGUCUGUUUUCUUUUCAUACUAUUUUUUUAUGGAUAUUUUGAGAAACAACUCAUGUUCUCCUAAAUACAGGAUUUUAUCUGCUAGCCAAAGUGGAAGAAGCUGCAGGUAAACCAAUUUACAAAUGGACUCAUCACAUUGUCAGUGUGGCAUACCCUUAAGCAUCUGUGCGCUGCAAUGGUUCCUAUUGUCUUGACGCUUAUGCUUGCAAAGAGGACUAUGAUUUUUUUCCUUCUAUUUUUCUCUAUACAGUUACCCCUAUACAAAUGGGCUUUACAUUCCAUUCCCUAGAAUUUCUAUUAGGUGAAAAGAUAUACUGAUCCCCUUAACUACACAUUAUUUUGAAUAAGACCUACAACAAUUUGUUGAUCGAUAAGCCCUGCAACUUUUGCUCAUAUCUGUCAUUUUUGUUUGUUGAACUAGGCAUUGCUUCAAAAUAAUGCCUGCCUUAACUCUCAGUGUAAGGACUGAGAUUUUUUGACAGUGCAACUAAACUCUCUGUUGAUGAUGUUUAUGUGUGUAAUUUAAUUACAUAAGCACUCGUCAAGUUUCAGGAGAAACUGAGCUAAAAUGGAGAAGAUACGCGAUUUUUAGUUUUCACUUAAGUGAAUAGUAACUCCGGUUUUCCGGAGAAGCCACGGAGUAGAGUUGGCUUCUGGUGCGUAUCGGACUCCGUUCAUAUCAGUCCAAUAGCUCGUUUCGACCGGUUCAGUUGUUCUGGAACUACUGGCGUUGACGGAUUUUGAGUUUGAUGCACGGAUUUCGAGAAAAUCCAAAAAUACAUGUUUUAUAUGUAUUUNNNNNNNNNNNNNNNNNNNNNNNNNCGGGCUUGGUUGGUUUCCACCGUCGCCGCCGCCAUUUCAACCGGCAUCAGGUGAACCUCGUAAUUCUCACCUCUGCUCCCGGGCCACACCGCAUCGCCUCGAGCCCUCUACGAUUGGAAGCGCGCGCCGCCGUCGCCGCGGAAGCCAAUAACGUUCUAGAAAAGUGGUCUUUUUUCGCCGGGGGAGACAAGCGUAAAAGCUAACUCCACCUGGCUUAUAAGCCUGUGUCCAAUUAGGGCUUGCCCUAAUUUUUUGUGAAUUGGGUACUAAUCCGAGGCUUCCUGGAGUUCCUUUUUCUCGGAUCUACUUACUGAAGGGACACGAUGUGACGUAUGCAAAUUUGAUCAUUAGUUGCUACUCCAUCCUUGUUUUUUUAUAUUCUGGAAAGGUUACUUUCCUACACCUUUUCCAGCGUUUCCUAUGUGUAUCGUUUAAUUUAAGGUGAGAUAGUCUCGCACCAACCGAGUUGUUGAAGCCUUUGCCAUUUUGGAUAACGGCACAUCGUGUUUCUGGUUUCAGUGUGUUAAACUUUUUGCACGUUAAUUCCAAUAUUUAAGGCAUUCGGUCAUCAGCCGACCCAAAACCGUGCUUUCUGUUACAAUCGGUCAAUCCAGUGGUGUAGUCGCAGUAUGUUUCCGACGUUAUACCGAAUAAGAAGGUCCUUUUUGACCGAUUUCUGCCUCCGGAGGCUGGAAGUACCCCGGGUGAUCGUUCGAUCAGUGCUGAUAACUCAGUGCUCACCUUACUUUGGAUCAAACAGAGUACCGGAUUAAGAUUCCUGUUCGACACGAUUUCCCAUUGCGCGCUGUUCGCAGAACCUAUUCGAAUUGCUCCGGCGCUCCAUAGUGAGCCGUUGCGCUUCGGACCUUGAGCACGGCCUCCGGGAUGUCUCUAUCAGCGAAUCGCUUGAUCAGUCGCAGGGCGCAAACGGGUACUAAUAUGCGCGAUACCCUACAAACGUUACGCCUCAGCUCCCAUCACCUGGAACUGAAGCUAAGAGAAUCAUGCGAAUAUCCCAAUUUUGUCACAAAGAGUACGUAAAACAUUUAAUUUCGCGUACUGAACCGAUAUUAGUCUAUAAAAUGAUUAGGAUUUUACGUAAAUGAGGACUUUAUUGCAUGCACCUUGUGGUACCUGUGGCCAGAACGCGUUGGUGGCAGUGUGGGGACUUAGUGAAUUGACUGUCCAAUAUAGCGAAGCCUAUGUUACGGUUUUUGCUCGGAAAUUGAAAACGCUCUAGAGAUUUUCGUGCCGCUUGCGUUUUUCGGGCGAAAUUCGCCGAAAGACGCGGAGGAUAUCUCAGUUGAUUUCUUAUCAUCCGACAUGGUUUGGUUUCCUUAUAGAAUUUAGUUGUUGUUAGCCUUGGAUUGGAUGGUGUCACCAGUCAUGAUUUUGUACGGGUUCCACGAUGCGACCAACGGUUUGCCAGUGAAAUAGGCCUGCCGUGAGCUACGGUGGAGCUACGGUGUUUGGAUCACUCUGUGUGUCGAAAUAGGCUCUAUAUCACGAGACCCGGGAUCCUAAUUGGCUCAAGCGCCCGUAUCAAUAUUAAUUGACCAGUCUUAGCAAGUACUAGACCAAUGUAUAGAAAUAGGCGACAAUACAUUGUUUUGAGUUAUAGGUUCCAUCUCGUGUUUGCUGUCCAAGACAUCCAUAAUUGGAGUGUUUAAUACUGGCAACAAUCGUCCGGCCUAACAAGGAAAUGCUGGGCCACCGGCGGAUGACUCGCUAGCACAGAACGGGGCCCGGUGUUCAUGGGUACAAAAAUUUUCGGGACCUUUUAAUGAACCUGCGUUACCACCGCACGGAUCCCGGUUCGCUGGAUAAAUGGCCUUGGUCGUGAAGCUCGUACACCUCCGGAGGUUAGCUUAUAUUAACCAUGCGUAUGGGAACGUUUUUCUGUACACGGUGGCAUAUGACAGGUUUGUUUGUGAGUGGUAGCUGGAUUUCCAGUGAAAGUUAAUUCACGUUGUGCGGUUAGACACAUAAGCGCGGUGGACUUUCCUUAGCGUCCGUGUGACAUCCUUUUGCAGUCAGAAACAGGCGCGACAUUCGUACAGGUGCGGUACUUCGAUCGACGUCAGUUUAUAGUCGUGCCGCUCGGUGAUGGUUUCUUACCAAUUACUCUGCUGUGUUACUAUUGCAUAGUAUUAAUAUGAGCCUGCACCCAUGUAUUCUAUUAUACUCGACUCCGUUCUUUUGCAAUGCCUUAGUGUUCAGAGUUAGGAGUUAGAGUAGUAGUUCUAUCUAUAUUGCAUAUCUGUUUACUGGUGGUCGGUUGGUGCAUUCCGUAUCUGCUUGACCUGUGGUCGGUUGUUGCAUCCGUAUCUGUUGACCUGGGCAAUUGCCGUCAGUGUUCCUAUUCUCGCUAAUUCUAGUCAAUGCGAAUCGCAGAACCGUAUUUGUGUCGAGGAUUAGGAGCUCUUCGUGGACUUGGGUCCGAGGCCAAACACGAUCAACUUUACAUACCUCAUCAUAAUGUCUUCGAUGCUAAGUAGCCUUUUGAUCGUGCGGUGUCGGCGUUUACAUCGUCCACGCCCUCUCACUGGCUGUCGGUCGCUAGGAGAUCCGGCAUCGGCUUUUUGUCGGUUUUUGUUUGAGCACUUAUCACACAGACUAUUGAGGACUGUCUUAGUGCAUUUUAGAGCAGUUGGGAGUAUCACAAGCCACCGAGGUCGGUCUUUGGGACAACUCACUGAAACGCGGGUUAACCUAUGUGCAGAUCAACUGUCAGAACUUCUGUACUUAUCCAGCCGGGAAGCUGUAGACGCGAGCUACGCCUGGGGGGGCGGCGUGAAUCAGGUCGGUCAAGUUAGUGACAGCCGCCCGCGCUUGAGGGUCUGAAACCCCAGGUUCUUUACAUCGCGGACCAAUAUACAGGGUGGAGCCAGAUUGGAUUAUAUAUCGAAACUAUAUUCGUAUAGUGAUUCGGUUGACGUUCACCGAUUCUAAAAAUUGAAAGAUAAUGAGUAAGCUCGCAGUGUUGCAUCGUCAUACAUAUACCUGUAUCACUAUUCUCCAGGAUGUAUAGUUAUUUGUUUGCAUGUAGACAUUCAGUGCUGUUUAUCUACAUUAGCGUAGUUUGUACUUUCAUUAUAUAUAGCUGCUUUCGUCAUUUUAUUGCUACUGUAUUUUCACUGAACGCCGUACUGCUUGUUUAAAGCUCUUCCUGAUUCCGGUGAGUAUCCUCGCUUCUUCGGCUGCUCACGUACCCACUGGGUGGGCGAGACAUGUUUACAUGUUCUCAUCGUCCCGCCCACUAUAUUUUUCAGGUAUCAGUACGGCGCAUGAGCGAUUGAGAUGAGGACGUGAGAUACGUAACGUAGCGGUCGAUAGAUGCUUCCGACCAGGGUUAUUACCAGGUUAUCAGUUUCUUACCCUAUAUUCUGUUGAUACAGCUUAUUAUAGUUUAUAUGGUUCCAGUAUAUUUACAUUUGAUAAAUAGUUUUCUAUGUAAUGUAAUAAAAUGGAUUUGUGGAUUUUGUGAAUUGAAAAAUAGUUUUUCUACCCCUCGUGGGUAGCGCGUUUUAAAAGAAAAAAUUUCGUGCUGUCAGGACCUGUCGUGAUAGAUCUCUACCCUGAAAUAGGACUACAGAACAAUCCUUUCAUCCGGGACAGCAGCUCUUCAAAGGUUUUUCGUAUUUUACAAUUAAACUUAGUAUUUCAAAAACCCGUUUUGAGUUGGACAACGUGUAUUAACUGGAUAGUUUGAUUUUUAUGUUCAAGCAUUAAAUGAAUGUUUGAACUUCUAUGUUGAAAUGAGACCGAAACACCUGCGGGAAUAUCGGUGUAAUGAGAAUAUAUAUUAUAGAUCGUUGGGCAUGUCCUGUAUAUUUAGUGUAGUUGGUGCGUUAUCCUGGUUUGCUACUUGUACUUGUGCGACGCCGUGCAAAUACAGAGGAGACUCUGUCCGGGUGUUGGUGGUUUACGGACCAAUGCGAGAGUGCUUGGCAAGAUCCGUUCUUAAACUGUAUUAUUUAAUACCUGUUAAUCAAAACAGCUUUACUUAGUAUAUACGAUUUAGCCGUAAUUCCUGUCUGGGAUGGGAUAACUAAGAAUUAGAAAAAAAUUAUCAUUAAACAAUUUUAUUAGAUCCCAGGUGACAGUGGCACUUCACCUGUAUUUAAGGGCGGAUUCUUGCAUACCGCCGGUGGCGCUCAAGGUUUUUUUUGUAAUAAUCAAAAAUUUCUGAGCUGCUUCUUUAACCUAUAUAAAGAAGACGAUCGUCCGCGAGGCAGAAGUGACAUAUUUGUGUUUAGUUCGCACUAUUUAUCAGUUUCUGUAGUAGAGAGUGGUAGAUAAGUACGGCUAGUUUAAGCAGUUUGAAGCUACAUCUGGGAGUUGAAAGAAGUUAAUUCUUAAAGAUUUCCAGAUUUCUAAAAGACCGUACUUCGAAAUGCAAAAUUUCUGGAGGGGCCCUUGCUUUGCAGGUUGAGUUUUUACAUCUCAGGUAGUAGUGCUUUAGAGAGGAAGUUUUACUCCAAAGCAAUUCCUCAAACCACUAGUAUAAUGGGUGGGAAUGGCCUAUAUAUUAUGCGCUAUGCAGGAUUUUCUUUUAUGAUGCGAGGUUUUCGCUCCUAUGAUUUGUUCGUGUUUUGAUAGUACUAUUUAAGGCUUACGAUAUGCGGUGAUUUUGCUCUUAUUUUUGAGACCAUGAAUACUCGGCCAUCAUUUCAAUUUACUACAUAGUUCUCGUAUCUAGAGAUCGCUUGCCCAAUGGAUAAGGAUGUGGUUGAGCAAAGAUAUGUUGAUGCUGCUCAUCUGUUUGUAGCAGAUUUCGUUGUAAAUUUUCAUAAGCUUCAGCAUUAGUUUAGUCAUACUGUUGCUACUUGCAUUCAUUAAUAAUAUAUUUGGAUCAUUAUAGUACUUUUAUAUCUUAACGACUUUGGUUUAAGAUCAGACAUGUGAUAAAUCUGAGUGACACUUUUUGAUGUCUAAACUGUGAAAUCCAAAUAUUUUUCCAAACUUUUUUUUGAUUGUCGUGGGCUACCAUUUGCAUACUUUGAUGAGACAACAGAUCAACACUGUAAUGAGGUUCAUCAGCUAAUCUUUCCGAAAGUAAGAAUGUUUUCAGGUAAUUAUUCGUUUAAAUAAAUUUUUUGUCUUAAUUUUUGUUAUAGGAAUAGGAUAGCCACUAUUGAAAUUGAUCUAAAGCUGUAGAAAGCAAUACAAAUGUUCCGCAGAAAUUCAUAUGAUAUAAAAUGUAAGAUAAGUCAAGUGAAUUUAACAAUCUAUCUUCCUUAUUUUGGUAAAAGAUCGGCCCCAGUAUUGCUCGUGUGUUUUCUCUUUCAUUACGGUAUUUUUUUAUGUGAUUAUGUUGAGAAAUCAACUCAUAGUUCUCCUAAAUACAGGAUUUUAUUGCCUAGCCAAAGUGGGAAGAAGCUGCAGUUAAACCAAUUUACAAAUGGACUCAUCAACAUUGUCAGUGUGGCUACCCUUAAGCAUUCUGUGCGCUGCAAUGGUUCCUAAUUGUCUUGACGCUUAUGCUUGCAAAGAGGACUAUGAUUUUUUUCUUCUAUCUUUUCUCUAUACAGGUUACCCACUAUACAAAUGGCGCUUUACAUAUCCAUCCUAGGAGUUUCUAUAGCGUGAAAAGAUAUACUGAUCCCCUUAACGGCAUACACAUUAUUUUGAAUAAGAAGCCCGCAUAACACCAAAGAAAAAACAAAAGAGAAUUCUUAUUUUUCCUGAAGAAUUCUUCCGGGCUCAAGAUGGGUAGACCGAUACUACAUAUAAUAAAAUUAAGAACCAGCGCCGAUUUGCCAACUUUUGCUCGAUAUCUUGUCAUUUUGGUUUGUUGAACUAGGCAUUGCCCUUCAAAAUAACUGCCUGGCCUUAACUCUCAGUGUAAGUGACUGGAGAUUUUGACAGCGAGUGCCAACUAAACUCUCUGUUGACCAUGUUGUGAUGUGUGUCAAUUUAAUUACAUAAGCACUCGUCCAAGUUAUUCAGGAAACUGAGCUAAAUGCGAGAAGAUAGCGAGAUUUUUAGUUUUCACUUAAGCGUGAAUAAUAGUUAACUCCGGUUUCCGGGAGAAGGCACGCGAAGUUAGACGCCAGUUGGCUUGUCUGUCGGUGCCGUAUCGGACUCCGUUCAAUCAUCAGUCCAAGUAAAGCUCGAAUUUCGAACCGACCGUUCAGUUGUUCUGGAACUACUGGCUCCACGUGGGAUUUUAGUUUUGAUGCACGGAUUUCAGAAAAUCAAAAAUACAUGUUUAGAUAUGUAAUUUUGUGUGUUUCUUUCGAUUGCGACGAAGGUUGGAUUGUGAGUGCUCGUGAGAUCCGGUGGUCGAUCGAGACGAACGAAAUGUAGCUUUGUGUGUCUCCGAGGUGUGCUGCACGCCACUGCGGUCUCGGUAAUCCUCGUCGAAAAUCUUAAAAUGUACGUGCACGACGGAUCUGCGGAAAUCGCGCGUUGUUUCUAGAGGAGACGCGUCAGUUGUUAGGGUGAAAAACGGAUAUUAUUCUGACAACAAAGUAGCCAAUAUUAUUAUGUUACCGUUUCCGCUUGAGACGUCGCUCGGAUGGCCAAGGCUGAUAAAUGGCCCUGUUAAAGCCUGCUAAUCAAAGCGAGUAUUAGUGCUGUAUUACUCGCGCAGGGAAGAUGGUUGAGGAAUACCAUCCUUGAAGGGUCUUGCCAAUGUGGGUGACACCCUAAUGAAUACCUAUUUUAGACGGAUUUUGUCUAGGUUUGCUCGGACAUGGGAAACCUAACCCUAGCCUAGUUGCCGCAACCCCCAGCCACCCUUCACUCGCUCCGCCGCCCUAGCUUGCGCCGAUCGCAUACACUCUUCUGCAAACUCUCUGCCGGGAUGUUUCUCAAAACCUACCCUGAUUACUCCCUUCCAGGCUCUGGCCAGCCACCGCUUUACAGCCACCCUUUUCUCCCUCUCCAUCUUUUCUCUCCAUCUCUUUCUUUUGCUUCUCGGAGUUAGAGGCCCUACGGCCGAGGCCUGCAGUCGGGCACCCUUGCUAAAAAAGUGCUGCACGAAUAUGUGCCUGGCGCCGCCCCGACCUUAAUCGGAAGCAGGUCACCCGUCGAGCCGCCUGCGUCGCGAGAGCGCCGCCGCACGCUGAGCGGCCAACCUGCAGGUCACCAUGAGCGAGCCUGGGUUGAUCUCUGCCUAGCUGCCGUGUCGCUCCCGCCCACCCUCGGUCCCGCGCGCCUCAGCUGCGCUCCGGCGUGCCCCCCGCGUGCCAUCGCGCCGCUGCCCGUCGCGCCGGCCCGCUCUCUCUUUUCUGCGGGCCGCGCACGUUGACCAAGUGCGGGAGCCGGGGCUAGCUCCGCCUCCGCGCGUCGCGCCGCCCACCGUCGGAAUCCAAGUCCGCGCCGUCACCCUCUGCCGCGAGCCCGGAGACCGUCCCUCUGACUCUCCCGCCGACGCCCAGCGUCCCCCGUGGCGCCUGGGCGCAUGAGCGGCAGCUCGACGCUCCCUUGGCCGCGCAGAGCCUGUCAGCCGAGGCCACACCCACACCGCCGCGCCGCCCUCCGCCGCCGCUCCGGGUGGAGCACCGGCUCCGCCUGGCCGGCGCCCACGUCUGCAGCCGGCCGCAUGCCAGAGAGGGACCCGCCGCAAACGGUGAGCACCCUGAUCAACUGGAUGAGUACUUCAGAGUCCCCCUCCAUCGGGUUGUGAGAGGGAAAAAUUUGAACAUGUGAUAAAGCGGUCAUUAGGGCAUAUGUGCCCGCGCCUCCGCCGCCCUCCCGGGUGUCGACCGAAGCACGCAGCCGGACCUCCCCCACACUGGCGGCACCCCUCUGGCGGAUAUCCCGCCGUUCCGGCUGCCGCGGGCGCCCCUGCCCACCUUGCUCCUGGUAAUUGUGUUGUUGGCUUCCUGCACCUUGUGUUCUUGGGAAUUUCCGGCAGAAUCACUUCAUGGAGCCAACUAGAACAAAUGUAUGCACUGCCUUUAAAGGGCAGAUUCAAAAGAAUAUAAACGAGGUUGCUUAUAUUUUCGACAAAGAAAAUAAAAUAUGCGAGAUUGACAGAAUGUUUCCCAUCGCAUGUGUUUUGAACGAGGCCACCUGAACUCUAAAGCUGAAGAGUUAGAUGCGCGACGAUAAUCCUUGCUCUGUGGACAAUAGGCCGGGUCAUCGUAGCGGAAGCCAGCCGGCUUACAUAUUUACGGUUUCAGAGAUGCUCCGGCGGUUUUGUGAAUAAAGAAGAAACACUAACGAGCAUUGCUCACCUCUGAAAGACCGACCUUCGGUGUGUGAUGGACGCAGUAUUUAGGGUUAAGGUUGCAAGGCUUGAGAAAUGAUCAAGGAUUGGGAACGCUUGUGCGCGCUGUUUCACUAUGUUUGGCGAUAAUUUCAUCUCCCGUGUGGUCCAAUCCGACGGUGGCCGGCAGUGCUCCAAAGGUGGACGGCCUCCGCACACUGAGAACAGUUAGCGGAGUUCGUCUUGGUGUUUUGACCUUCUGGUGCGUUGUCUGGGACCAUGAAAGCACCGAAAUCGCAUUGAAAUAAUGCCUGAUUUUGCGUGUCAGUCGGAGGGCCUUUAUGCUUUUCGGUUCGUUGUACUGCUGUUGAGGCAGCCCAAGUGAUUGGUUAGGAGACCUGCUGGCACUAUUGUCAAGAGGCCUUAGACCCUUUGCGGAAGAUCGAAAAUGACAUUUCCGCAGUGCCGUUUUCGGCGGAAGCGAAAAUCCCGCACGGGAACGCGGGUUUCGGUUCGAAUUUCUCCGACGGUUGCUUCGUGAGCUAUUGCUGUAGCUCGUUAGCCUUUAUUGCGCUUCACUCGCGUCUUUCAUGAGUUCAAGAAAUGACGGGCGAUAUUGAAAAGCGACGAGGCCAGUAAUGAUGUUGAGCGUUCCCGGUGCUCGAAAAGUAGGACACUUCCAAUGGGAACCCGGAUCGAAUGGAUUAUCUGACGGGAUAAUUGUUUCGACCAAAGUGUGGCUAGGAGUGCGUCGUUGCUGCCAUGAUACACGAUACUCAUGUGUUUAAGCAGCGGAUGACUCGCUAGCAUGAUGUCGGUACGUUUCACGAGCUGACAUGUUCCGUGUCCGGGUUCCCGACGGUACCCGUGUGCGAUUUGCGGGAACUUCGAGCGAGUGUAACAAUGUAUUAGUUUGGUUUUACCCGAAACUUUAUUCAUCGUGGGUUUGCCUUGUGAGGUUGUGGAUGGUAGUGCGUUUCAAUUAUUUGUGGUUAAGGAACACAAAAACGCUCCACGUCGAGGACCCCAAUUUAGGUUUCCCAAGUUUGACAGUAUAUCUUUGUACUCAGCCGGAGACCCAUUGAAUCCGACCCAGAAAGUAGUACGCGACAGUCUGACUCCCUUGCAGGUGGCGGUACUUCGAUUCGAAUGAAGAUCGAAAAAAAAGGACUAUUGAUGCCCUACAAAAGAUGUGGUGCACGCUCGGGUGAUGAUUCUUUCUAUUCCUAUUCUUUCUCAUUGCCUAUUUUCAUAUUUAUAUUGACUCCUGCAUCCCCGUUGUUUUCUCAUCUUACUCUACUCAUUAUGUUCUAUGUCUUUUGAGAUUAUGCAUGUGUUAGGAUAUAGAGUAGUUAUAUCCAUAUUGUGUUGAACUAUCAGGUUGACCUAGACGUUGGUGCAAGUUUCCUGUACUUUUCAGCUAGUAGUGACACUGAAAUUAUGAGGGUCGCGUUCUCGUACUUCGUUAUAACGGAGGUUGAGCCUAGUCUUGAUCGGUGGUUUUUAUCUUAUGUCCGCUUGACCUUGGGUUGGUCGUAGUUGUUCUCGCCGAUUAUGUAUUAGCGUGGUUUGUUUCUUAGACUUCUAUUGGUCGAAUGCACCUUUGAGUGUUCGGGGAAUGUACCCAGGAAGAGCCUUGCCUACGGGACGUCCAAACCAAGAGGUAGGAUUAUUGUCGGUUUGGUGCUGACGGGUAGUUCUGGACUUUUAUUUCGAAUACACUUCCGAUUGUAGACUCUUAUACGGCUGUCGGUCCUCUCUCGCGUUAACUUGGCUAACUAAUAUUUAGUUGAAAAAGGUCGAGCCAAAGGUAGUCUACAUAUUAGUCUGUUGAUUUACUUCUGCGACCUGGUUUUUCUAUGGUUAGUAUCCUUAUUGCGGGUUGCAGUAGAUGGCAUUCGUAUUAUACUAUACUUUGGUGACCUAGGAGCCUGUCGGUUCUCCUGUUUGCAUCGGUGACUCUGCUUUGGAGUUCAGUUGUCGUUUACUUUCCGUAUAUUUGAUUAUCUCGAUUCUGGUCGGUCAGCGUUGGGUACUGUGAGUGACCUACACGGUAACUCGGGCUUAGCCCGCACGAGGGAGGGGCAGGAUUAGUAGAAUUUCCUAGACAGUGAUUGUCGGCUGAUUGCGACGGGUUGGCUAUUGAUCAUAUCGCAUUGCAUCGCUACAGUCGAUUGCAUUUUCACGUACACCAGGGUGACCCCCCGCAGGAUGGGUGUUUUCUUUUCUCCGAAAAGUGGUCGUACAUCCGACCCGUGAGCAGCGGGUUCUACUUUUGUGCUAGGGUUACAUGCCCAGGUCGUGAGCAGGAUAGUGCUUUUGCCUGAGGUCCUUAGACCGACACGGCGGUUUAAGAUUCGGGGUAACAUGCAUUUUCCAAGAAUCAGCCCAUUUUGACUUUCGUUCGGUUACGCAGUAUAGCUAAGUAGUAGGCGGUUCCGGAAGGGUUAGUCAAAUGUGCAUAUAAUGUAAGCUUCUAGUUCUUUCUGUUACAGUUGUCUUGCUUACGCUAUUACCAGUUUUGAUAUCCGUGGGUAACAACUGUGCUUGCGUUUUUGUACAUUAGUAGCGGUAGUUGGUCGCUUUCAUAUAUAUAUAUCUCAUUGUUCAUGAUCGGUUGCUACUUGUAUUUUACUUACCCAAUACUGUCGUUUAUCUCUUCCUGAGUCCGGAUCCAGUGGGAAAAGUGAGUAACUCACUCGCCUUGCUUCGAGCUGUGCAUUUUGAGAAUCCAUCCAGGGACGAUACGCUACUUGAGGGAGGGGAGACAUGUUUACUCAUUUCUACCUGCACCCCAGCUAUUUUUCAGUAUCGCGGUGGCGAUGAGUCAUGGACGAGACUGUGAGAACGUUACGUGACUGUAGAGCAAAACGAACGUCGAUUAGAUGUCUUCCGACGCAGGUAUUUCGAUUUAGUUAUAUCCUCUGGUAUUUCUGUAUAUUAGUUUAGUGGUUUAUGUUGCGUUCGAGUAAUCGAUUUACAUAGGGAAAUGUGGAUUCUGGAGAUUUUGUAAAAUAAAAGGUUUUCUACCCCUCGUGGUAGCGUUUUUAAAAGAAUAAAGGUUUCUGUGUAGGAAACAGCUUUCAAAAGGUUUUUGUGGAUUUCUGUUUAAACCUCGAAUGUAAAACUGUGAUGUGAAUGGGGAAUGUAUGAAUGUAUAGCUAUCUGUAUAUUCAUUUGAUUGUGGUUGUAUACUGUUUGUACUUUUGUACUUGUGUGACGCCGUGCAAGUACAGGGGAGACUCUGUCCGUGUGAACAGUGGAUUCCCUGUAUUUGUGGCGGAUCUGGCAUACUCUGGGGUCAGGUUUUCAAAAAAAAAAAUUCAAACGCUUUUCCGCUGUAUUUCAAACAAAAAGGGGACCCCGGGGCGUGACACUCAGUCUCUCAGACAGUAGCUGUUAACGGAUAUUGCAGUUU